GGUCUUGUAGCUCAGUUGGUUAGAGCAACGUCUUGAUAAGGCGUAGGUCAUUGGUUCAAAUCCAAUCAGGACCACCA
rnacentral:tRNA from 2 species